rnacentral:rRNA from 1 species
UACGUAGGGGGCUAGCGUUGUCCGGAUUUAUUGGGCGUAAAGGGCGCGUAGGCGGCCUUCUAAGUCAGACGUGAAACCUCGAGGCUUAACCUCGAGCCUGCAUUUGAUACUGGGCGGCUAGAGUCCAGUAGGGGAGUGUGGAAUUCCCGGUGUAGCGGUGAAAUGCGCAGAUAUCGGGAGGAACACCAGCGGCGAAGGCGGCACUCUGGGCUGGAACUGACGCUGAGGAGCGAAAGCGUGGGUAGCAAACAGG